CAGGGGACAUGCAUGCCAUGUUAUCCUCACUCAUGGCAUCCAUGGGCAAGGUCAACUCCAGGCUGGAGAAACUUGAGACGGUCACCACGGCCCUCACUCUAGCAGGGCCAACCGCGGCUGCAGUACAAACACCAGCCUUGCCAUUAGUCGCUCCAGCCAGCCCCCUGGAUGACCAGGAAGUUAGCCCGGCCCACAUGAUACCUGAG